UGCGCACGCGUAGCGCCGAUGCUUUCCCCGACUCUAUGGUGCUAAAGAGGAAGGCUGUUGAGUUAACGUUGAGCGUGUAUCGAAAUAUCGCGUGGUUUCAGAACGAAGGGUGACUUUCCAUGGACAGCCAGGAAAAUAAACAAAUGGAUCAUAGAACAAAUCAAUCCAGAAUUUUCACUCGUGGCACAAAUGACCAGGCUCAAACUAUCAUACUUCAGACACAUUAUGCAAAGAUCCAGCUCCCUUGAGAAGUCCAUAAUGCUGGGGAAAGUCGAAGGUAAGAGAAGAAGAAGAAGAUGACCAGCAGCAAGGUUGGUGGACUCGAUUACAGCAGCAAUGAAUGCAUCACUGAGAGAUCUUGAAGGCCAAGUUGAAGACAGAUCAUCCUGGAGAGAAUCUAUCUAUGUGGUCUCUAAGAGUCAACACCAACUUGACAGCACUUAAUCAAUCAAUCAUGUUUUAUCUGAGCGUGCCAUUGCUGAAUUGAGUAGAGUGUACUGCAAAGCUAACUGUAUUCCAUAAAUAAACAUAUCCCAAGCUG